UACGAAGGGGGCUAGCGUUGCUCGGAAUCACUGGGCGUAAAGCGCACGUAGGCGGAUUGCUAAGUCAGGGGUGAAAUCCUGGAGCUCAACUCCAGAACUGCCCUUGAUACUGGCGGCCUUGAGUCCGGGAGAGGUGAGUGGAACUGCGAGUGUAGAGGUGAAAUUCGUAGAUAUUCGCAAGAACACCAGUGGCGAAGGCGGCUCACUGGCCCGGUACUGACGCUGAGGUGCGAAAGCGUGGGGAGCAAACAGG
rnacentral:rRNA from 1 species